rnacentral:SRP_RNA from 1 species
GGUCAAGUCCUGUGCAACGAGGCGUUGCCCAACCCCGCCAGGUCCGGAAGGAAGCAACGGUCAGCAAUUGCACUCGUGUGAUGCAGGGAAGCUUGACCUCU